UCGUGCUAGACGGGGAGGUAGCGGUGCCCUGUACCCGCAACCCGCUAUAGCGGGGUUGAAUCCCCUCUCGAGGUCCGGCCCUGUGGGACUGCCGACGACACGUGGUGUUGAAGGUCGGGUCCCGCGCGGCGGGGAACCGCGAACCCGGUCAGGACCGGAAGGUAGCAGCCGUAAGUGGACCUCCUCGGGUGACGUGGGGUUGCCCGGCCGGAGCUAACGAGCGCCGGUAAGCUGGAGGGUUGUGAUCGACAGAGGGUGCACGG
rnacentral:SRP_RNA from 1 species